rnacentral:rRNA from 1 species
AGUGAACGCUGGCGGUAGGCCUAACACAUGCAAGUCGAACGGCAGCACAGUAAGAGCUUGCUCUUACGGGUGGCGAGUGGCGGACGGGUGAGGAAUACAUCGGAAUCUACUUUUUCGUGGGGGAUAACGUAGGGAAACUUACGCUAAUACCGCAUACGACCUACGGGUGAAAGCAGGGGAUCUUCGGACCUUGCGCGAUUGAAUGAGCCGAUGUCGGAUUAGCUAGUUGGCGGGGUAAAGGCCCACCAAGGCGACGAUCCGUAGCUGGUCUGAGAGGAUGAUCAGCCACACUGGAACUGAGGCACGGUCCAGACUCCUACGGGAGGCAGCAGUGGGGAAUAUUGGACAAUGGGCGCAAGCCUGAUCCAGCCAUACCGCGUGGGUGAAGAAGACCUUCGGGUUGUAAAGCCCUUUUGUUGGGAAAGAAAAGCAGCAGGUUAAUACCCCGCUGUUCUGACGGUACCCAAAGAAUAAGCACCGGCUAACUUCGUG